AUUAUCAAGAGUGACUGAGGGAAAGGCCCUUUGACGUCCAGCAACCUCCCUACAUGGAAAGGUGCCAAAUCCUGCAGUGUUCAACUGAGAGAUAAA
rnacentral:ncRNA from 1 species